UACGUAGGGUGCAAGCGUUGUCCGGAAUUAUUGGGCGUAAAGAGCUCGUAGGCGGUCUGUUGCGUCGGCUGUGAAAACCCGGGGCUCAACUCCGGGCCUGCAGCCGAUACGGGCAGACUAGAGUUCGGCAGGGGAGACUGGAAUUCCUGGUGUAGCGGUGAAAUGCGCAGAUAUCAGGAGGAGCACCGGUGGCGAAGGCGGGUCUCUGGGCCGAUACUGACGCUGAGGAGCGAAAGCUAGGGGAGCAAACGGG
rnacentral:rRNA from 1 species